CGUGGGUAACCUGCCUUGCACUGGGGGAUAACACUUAGAAAUAGGUGCUAAUACCGCAUAAGCGCACAGUUCCGCAUGGAACAGUGUGAAAAACUCCGGUGGUGCAAGAUGGACCCGCGUCUGAUUAGCUGGUUGGCGGGGUAACGGCCCACCAAGGCGACGAUCAGUAGCCGGCCUGAGAGGGUGAACGGCCACAUUGGGACUGAGACACGGCCCAAACUCCUACGGGAGGCAGCAGGUGGGGAAUAUUGCACAAUGGGGGAAACCCUGAUGCAGCAACGCCGCGUGAGUGAAGAAGUCAUUCGUGAUGUAAAGCUCUAUCAGCAGGGAAGAAAAUGACGGUACCUGACUAAGAAGCCCCGGCUAACUACGUG
rnacentral:rRNA from 1 species